UGCGAUGUGGGUAUCUGCACUCAGCAGUUUAUUCUGCUGGUGUGUUCAAAGGACAGUGCAAUAGAAAUUCAGUAUGUGUCAUUGUUGGUUUUCUUUGCCUUUGUGCAUGUUAAACCUGGUAUUUAAUAUUGACACAUUA
rnacentral:snoRNA from 1 species